ACUAUCUAUAUCUACUCUAGUUUAGAGAAGAGAGGAGAGCUCUCAUCUAUAAACCCUAGCUUUUGCUCUGUCUAUGAAUAAUGAAUAAUGAUCAAGGGGUGCCUCCUCCAGGGGCCAGGGGGUCUGGUUAUAUAGUCCCCUCAAGUGAACCUGGGCCGUCGGAUCAAACCGACAUUGAUUGAACGAUUAUUCUUGAUCCUUUAGGUCGGUGGAGAUCUCCCGAGAGAAAGAGUCCUGAUUGGGCUCCAAGUCAGGGCGGGCGCCCAGGGCAGGAGGGCGGGCGCCCUGCCUCUGGCCCCGUUCGGCCUCCGCUUCCUUCCCGUUGCUUCUAGAGUCUUCUAGAUGUAAGAUAAUUGCGCGGCACGUUAAUAUCUCUAUGUAAUCCCAACGUGUGGGCCUUUCUUCCGUAUUUCCUGAUAACCCCCUGCAAAAAUAGACAAACACCAAAACUCGUGGAAUUCUGUCAGAUAAAACCCUAAGUCUAGAUGUUGAUUUCAUUUGGAUCCUUUUCUUUGUUUAUUUGAUAAUUAAAUUUGACACUUAACGACCGUCAACAAACUCCCCCAAGCUUACCUCUUGCACGUCCCUGACCAAGGAUAGACUCAGCAAUGGAUUAGAAGUUGUUGCAAUAUCUUAAAAAUUUAACGGUACACAUGCUUUUAAAUAAGAUCUCAUCUCUGAGUUAGAGUAAACUGUCAAGAACUAAAACUUACUUACUUUACCUUUCACCAUGGGACUUGUAACCGUCACUUCUGUCUUGAGUAGUUAAAAGAUAGAACAGUCUAGCCAAGUGCCAUGUCUCUUAUUCUUGAUCAUCUAUAGCUCUGGAGUUUUUACAGAUUUUCAAAUAAAACUCAGAGAUUCCUUGUAUGACUCUCUAAAUAUCUCUUUUGUGGUAUUUCUGGAUCCUUACCAAGGCAGUGAUGGUAUAUGCCUUCUCUCAAGAUAUGUGGUAUUUGUGGUAUAAGGCAUAGUGACAUUGCCUUCUCUCUCACCCUACUCUAAUAAGGCUUUAAUAUCUGGAGCUCAUAGGUGGGAGACAGCUAAUACAUACUUACAAGACAUUUAUUGCAUUGUCAAACCAUGGAUCCAGAGAAACAAGUCAAUAAGUCAAAUCAAGAUGUGCAUGUGUGGCGAAUGAAUGGUGUAUGGUGAUGAUGGUGAUAACAAUGGUGGAAGUCUAAUUCUACUUUUGCUCUUUUGAGGGGAUACAUACCUUCCUUGCUUUUUGAAACUUUAUGAGGAGAAUGAGAUGCUCUUCUUUUUCUUUCCUCUCAGGUGGGUAUCUUGUACCCCUAAUUCUACUGUCGGAUACUUGUCCAUUUUUACCUCUCGUCUCACAUUUUCUUUCUUUCGAGGUUCCGGGCACUUGCCCCUUUUUAUUUCCUCGUUUAUUUUUUUUUCUUCUUUUCUUCUCUUUUCUUUCUUUUUUUUCUUUGUUUUCAGAGCACUCAUCUGUUGAGAUAAUAUAGCAAGUGGUAGUAGCAAGAUAACUUGAGCAUUUAUUUCACAAGGGAAAACAGAAAUAUUUUGGCUAUUCUCUCCCGGAUUAGGAGUAGAAUAUUUUUGGGUGGUUCUGGAGAUGGACAGGGAUGAAUAUAUGUGGAUGGUACUUCCAGAGUAGAAGUAGCAUAUAUGAGUGAACGUGCAAGUGAAUCUUGAUUUAACCACAUGACAAGCUCUUAAGGGUCUACACAGCUUGACCACACUCAAUGCUCGUAAGCAGUAAAUAAUAAAUGUAUGGCUCAAAGUCUAGCAAGCAUGUAUAUUUGGCUGUGGUAGGAAUUUAAACUCUCAUCAUAUAGGAACUCAUCAUGCAAUAUUUUAAAAAAUUUUCAAAGAUAAAAUUCUCCAAAAUUCUAGCAUCUCUAGGAACAGAUAAACAGCAGCUCAACCUUCCCAUAUCAUAUCCGUUAACAACUUAGAUUUCGGAUCAAGUUUUCAUCCCAAAAGUUUAGAUCUAGAGCAAGCUUUAAAUUAUAACAGUUAUGUCUAAACUUCAGAGAGAACUUCAAAUUUGCAAAUUAGGCAGAGCAACUAUUCAUCAUAUCCAUGCUAGAGUUUUAUUAUUAAGAUCCAGAUUACAUGGCCACUUUAUUUAUUUUUUAAACACACCAAGCAAAAGAUAUAUAUAUAUAUAUAAGCACAAAAUCUUUAUUUGGUUUUUCAUAGUUUAUGUAUUUUAAUAUUCUAAUAUAAUAUAAGUAUAAAGAUAAGUAGAAAUACUUAGCGAGAUAAAUGGAGGCGCUCUCCCCCAAGCUGAAUUUUGACGUAAUUUCUCUUGAUGUAGCUAGCAGGUGGCAGAGGUGUAUUUGAAAGUCAGCAGCAUUAUGACAGUGAUUAGAAAGUCCUCCAUCUGCUAGUCUUCUUGAUUCUUAAAUUCUGUGGAGCUCAAAUAGACAACAAAGCUUGUGGAACUAAUUAAGUGUUAGCAUAAAUAUCUAGCCUUCAUCAUGUUGAGCUUCCUCAAUAAAUAUUACUCCCUGUUUUUAUAUUUUUAUUUUAUAAAGUAGAAAAUAAAUAUUUAUUUUAUUUUUAUGCAACCACAGUGAAGGUACUUAUGGGUUUUAUGCCACUCGUAUACUCACAUGGGGCUUAGUAUUUUUAACAUUUUUAUUUUCUUUUCAAGAUAGCAUGAUUAACUAAUAAUCUAUUUAAUGAAAGUAAAUAAUUAAAGAGAAAAGGGAAUACGGAAAGGAUAAAUAUGGAUAACUACUGAUCUUACCUUUUGGCGAGGGUUCAAUGUUUGAAGUCUUCUUAACAAGACUUCUCACCGUGUUCAUUCUUCAGGUGCGUCAUUUGAUUCAGGUGCGGACCUUGACGUCUACACCUCUUGAUAUGGUGUCACCCAUGUUCUUCAUUUUCCCAGCAGUUCGAAGUGCGGUGUUGGCAGUAACCUGCUCAGUGUGUUUGUGCUCGUAGAUCCAGGUCCUUCACUUGGUAGAGUCUGAGAGUUGUAAAACUCCACCAUGUUCUGUUCCAAGUGUACCUGUUCAUAGAGACAAGGCAGAGAUCAAGUGCAUGGGUCCUGUUGGUGGAAAACACCAACAGAACCAAAAGUGUAUUUGUUCUUCUCUAACCUUAAGCAUAGUGAGAAAGACAAAGUUGAUGGAUGAAAAGUUCAUGAGUGUAGCACUUAUAACAUUUGUCAGAUGAGAUCGCUCAACCUUAUGGAAAGAUAAUCUAUCUAUGUAUAUGUCUUUUUCUUUCUAUCUCUCAAUGAUUGAAUGUGUAACAUUUUAGCUCAUAUGAUUAGGAGUGUGGGAUCAUGGAGGUAGUACUAAGAACA
rnacentral:lncRNA from 1 species